rnacentral:rRNA from 1 species
AUUGAACGCUAGCGGGAUGCCUUACACAUGCAAGUCGAACGGAGUGGCGAACGGGUGAGUAAUGUAUCGGAACGUGCCCAGUAGCGGGGGAUAACUACGCGAAAGCGUAGCUAAUACCGCAUACUAUUGGAGCGGCCGAUAUCGGAUUAGAUAGUUGGUGGGGUAACGGUUCUCCAAGGCGACGAUCCGUAGCGGGUUUGAGAGGACGACCAGCCAUACUGUGACUUAGACACGGCCCAGUCUCCGACGGGAGGCAGCAGGGGGGAAUUUUGGACAAUGGGGGAAACCCUGCUCCAGCCAUCCCGCGUGUGCGAUGAAGGCCUUCGGGUUGUAAAGCACUUUCAGCGAGGAGGCGUUACUCGCAGAAGAAGCACCGGCUAACUCCGUGCCAGCAGCCGCGGUAAUAC